UGUGUUGUGAUGAGUGGCGCAGGGGUACGUACCUCAGCCAAUGAUGGGGGCUGAGUGCCGCUGUAGAGACUGAAUAGGAACAUGUGGUUCUGUCAGAAUCUGCAGCGGUACGAGUCAGACGCCUGACUGAACCGA